rnacentral:rRNA from 1 species
AGGCCUAACACAUGCAAGUCGAGCGGAUGAGAGGAGCUUGCUCCUCGAUUCAGCGGCGGACGGGUGAGUAAUGCCUAGGAAUCUGCCUAGUAGUGGGGGACAACGUUUCGAAAGGAACGCUAAUACCGCAUACGUCCUACGGGAGAAAGUGGGGGAUCUUCGGACCUCACGCUAUUAGAUGAGCCUAGGUCGGAUUAGCUAGUUGGUAGGGUAAAGGCCUACCAAGGCGACGAUCCGUAACUGGUCUGAGAGGAUGAUCAGUCACACUGGAACUGAGACACGGUCCAGACUCCUACGGGAGGCAGCA